UGCACGGGUUGUUCGGGUUAUUUCUUGCAGAUCUAUACACUGGGGUUCAAGCUUAGUGUUUUUAUUAGUUGAUGCGUUAAGAUUUAUGAUUAUUUUCUUGUUCUGUUUAAUCUGUUGUCCAAAAAUUAGGGUUCUUAAUUUUCUUUCAAAAGAUGAUUAUGAGGAGUUUCAAGAGAAACUUUGUUUCUGAUUGUGAUGGUGGUAGUGGUUUAGGCAUUUCUGUGUCUUGAUUUUUUUUUUUUAUUUUGAUUUUAAUUUCAGACAAUUCCAAUGAUUUUUUGUUUGAUUUCUUAUAAGGGUUUCAUUUGUUAGUAAUUUUCUAAUGAUUUUUCGUUUUUAGAUCAGAUGGAUAUUUUACAGAGAGGAGGAGAAGAACAAGUAGAAGUUAGUUCGUUUUCGAAUAAUUGUUGCUUGACUGAAUUAGAGUCGAAUAUCACUAAGAAAUGUUUUUUGUUUCUGUGAUUUUUCGUUUUUUAUGUCUCUUUUAUAUUAGGAGAUUUAAUUUCUUUGCAGGUGAAGUUAUUGGUGCAGAUGGCCAAAAUUAUGAAAGUUCUGCUAAGUGGUGGAGGAGAUUCUAGAUGUAGCAGCGAUAGCUAAUCGAGUUAUUCUGUACUACAAGCGCACGGUUGAUCAAUAUGAGAGUGAUUUUGUUUCUGUUGCCCAUUCACUAGUACUCUCUAUCAAUGAUAAGUACCUGCACAUCGUUUAGCCAGGCCCCUGCAAUGGAAGCUGCAUUAGAUUUUAUCUAGAGUUCCAGUUAGUGUUGCGGGGCCUUCAAUUAUGGGCAAGGUUGUAUGCUUGAUGUACACAAAUUCUGGAGGUGCAGUGUUGGCUCUUUCAUCUAAUGCAGUCCAUAAACUUUGGAAAUGGCACAGAACGUAAUCCAUCUGCAAAGUCUACGUCAUCUGUAGCUCCCGUGUUGUGACAGCCUGGCAAUGGUACUGUCAUGACAAAUGACAUUAGUGAAACCAGCCCACCUGAGGAACCAGCGGCAUGCAUUGCUUUAUCUAAGAACGAUUCAUAUGUCAUGUCGGCGUCUGGUGGAAAGGUCUCUUUAUUCAACAUGAUGACCUUCAAGGUUAUGACAACUUUCUUGCCCGGCGUUCCACCCUCAGGACAAUAACAUCAUCGCCACAUGGAUGGAGGACUCUACUAUUCAAAUAUACAACGUUCGUGUUGACGAGGUUAAAACAAAACUAAAGGGGGCAUCAGCCAAGGGCUCACCAGCCAAGGGAUUGACUCAAGGUAUUCAUGAUCGCCUUCACCCGUCAAGCAUGGCUCGAGCCAUUCACAAUCGGGUUUAUGUUCAAGCACGGUUGCCUGCUUACAAUGAAUUGGUUUCUUGGGAGCAUAAAGUGAAGAUAUUUCUUUGAUGGGCGAAGAUGAUGAUCACAUGUGUGGUCUGUAGCCCGGAAUCUCGGAACGCCGACCAGGUUCUGGUCAGCAAUUUUUUUUUAUUUAAAUGUAACAAAGUUUAUUACGAAAAUAACUGGAUCAAUUUUUGAAAACUGCAACUCAAU